AACCUCUUUNGCAGGGAAGAAGCGAGAGUGACGGUACCUGCAGAAGAAGCGCCGGCUAACUACGUGCCAGCAGCCGCGGUAAUACGUAGGGCGCAAGCGUUGUCCGGAAUUAUUGGGCGUAAAGAGCUCGUAGGCGGCUUGUCGCANUCGGUUGUGAAAGCCCGGGGCUUAACCCCGGGUCUGCAGUCGAUACGGGCAGGCUAGAGUUCGGUAGGGGAGAUCGGAAUUCCUGGUGUAGCGGUGAAAUGCGCAGAUAUCAGGAGGAACACCGGUGGCGAAGGCGGAUCUCUGGGCCGAUACUGACGCUGAGGAGCGAAAGCGUGGGGAGCGAACAGGAUUAGAUACCCUGGUAGUCC
rnacentral:rRNA from 1 species